ensembl:lncRNA
AAGGGAAGUGGGGAAAAGAGAGAUUGAGAAACAGAGAGAGAGGGAGGGCAGGGUGUUGAUUUGAGCAAGGCCUGGGGGCAGCCUACAGGGUAAAGAAGGGAAUGAUAGACUGGCUAACCAGAUGUUGAUCAGGCCUAUGUAGCGCUCUUCUUUUCAUCAAUAGUGAACAAAAAAAGUGGCAAGAGAAAUCCUGUUAGCUGCAUACUUAUUUGCUUCAAAGUCAGCCUUAAAAACCACCAAGUGUCACUUGACUUGAGUCUAAUCAAUUCUGCGUUUUGAUCUAGAAAUGGCUGAAACUUUCGGCGUUUGAUGACAAAAAAUGUCUGUUGUUAAAACGGAUGUCAUAUACAGGAUGCGUGUGCGCACACUGCCCAGCAAGUAUGAUGCUGCUCACAGAAGACAGUAAUGAAAAAUGAUGUCCCUUUACCUCCCCAAAUUUUCUAGAGUAACAGUGGUGGCAAAAGUGAGUAAUCUGUAAUCGGAGCGAUGUGGAGGAGUGCAGUGCAGCUAAUGCGACUAGACCCUGCUGUUCUCCGAGGAAGACUGCUGGAGGGGAGGAAGAAGACGAGGAGAAGGAGAGGCAGAGGGAUGAGCAGGAAGAAGAACACACACAGAGGCUGUUGGGGGAUCGCUUGCUCCAAACAUAGCAGAAGAUUAGUGACCUCAAGUUCUUACUGAUAAUGCCCAAGCAGGCGGAGUGACACAGGUCAGUCAGACAGAUGUAGAUGAGGAGGUCAGUGUGGAAGGAAGUCGAGCCAAACUUGCACAGAGCAGGUGUUUUGCAGAGACAGUAGGAGUAAUGCCAGAGGUGCGAGGGAAGGCGGACGGAUCAAUUGGUGCUGAGCCUCAGGGGCCAGAUCCCUUCUCGCCUCCAGGCCUGUUUCUCACCCCCGUUAAGGAGGUGGGGAUUAGAGGUCAGGAACACCGCCACGUCCUCUGCCCGCAUCGAUCGCUGUUUCACAAAGUACUCCAGCUCAUGCAUUUUCUACAUCGCCUGUUUGCUCCUCAUUUGCAAAGGCUACAGUCACGACGGUGGUCCGAAAGCGUGACAGACAUGCAGGGUGAAGAACACAGCGGUCAUCCACUGCCCUCUCUUCGCUCCAUUCACCUCGAUGACCGAUACACACCGGUGUACAGCUCUCUACCCAACUACUCUGCACCACCUGUCUCAUGUCUGUGCUGUGAGGGCCAGAGUUGAAUGCUCACAAUAUGAGCUCAUCAGUAUACCUAACACUUCCUGUUAGUACAGGUACAAGCAAAGUCCUAAAUAUGAAUAAAAACAUCACUUUUUUAAUGUCAUAGAACAAAACAUUGGUUGCAGAGAAGACUGUCUGUGACAGAAGUUGAGAGUCUGUCAUUUCUGCAGGUCAAAGAGAAAUAUCAGCAAAAGUACCACAAAAACAGUCACAAAUAUGGAAAAGAUUUCUCUUCUGUUAUUCUCAUCUAUCUAGGUGGUACGCACAAUGUGAUACACAAGUCAACACAAAAUUCAUGAGAAUA